CAAAAUGUAGCUUAACAAAAGCCCCUCGCUUACACCGAAGAGAUGCCCGUUUAAUUCGAGUCAUUUUGA
rnacentral:tRNA from 1 species